UACGUAGGUGACAAGCGUUGUCCGGAUUUACUGGGCGUAAAGAGCGCGCAGGCGGUCGAUCAAGUCGAGUGUGAAAGCCCCCGGCUCAACUGGGGAGGGUCAUUCGAUACUGAUCGACUCGAAGGCAGGAGAGGGUAGUGGGAUUCCCGGUGUAGUGGUGAAAUGCGUAGAUAUCGGGAGGAACACCAGUGGCGAAGGCGACUACCUGGCCUGUUCUUGACGCUGAGGCGCGAAAGCCAGGGGAGCAAACGGG
rnacentral:rRNA from 1 species